rnacentral:lncRNA from 1 species
AUCAAUGCAAGAAAUCAUCCUACAUGAAAAAGGAAGCUCAAAAUUUUGUUUAUGUAAAAACUUUUUUAAAUUACUUGAGUUUUGUUAACAUUUAUCCUUUUACAUAGGGUUGCUAAAGUUAGCGAAUAAAUUAUAGGAUACCCAGUUAAAAUUUAAUUUCAGGUAAACAACAAAUAGAUUUUUAGUAUAAGUAGGUCCCAUGAAAUGUUUAUGACAUAUAUAUACUAAAAACUCAUUCAUUAUUUAAUCUAAAAUUUAUAUUUAGCUUGGCAUCCUAUAUUUUGUCUGGCAACCCUCCUUUUAAGAAAAUCUAAUAAUCCAUAUUUACCUGAUAGGUAAAUUAGAAUACUGAUUCUUUUUUGAAUGAAAAUAAUGUAUUUUUUUAAAUUUUUCUAACUUUAGUUCCUCUAAUAGAAAUUAAUUUAGAUAACUAAGGAACCAUAGGAAUUUAAAAGCUGACCUAUCAGAAAUAACUUCAGCUAUAUUACAUUAAAAAUGAAGAGAUGGAAUCUGAAAUAGGAAAGUAAGAUUUAUACCCAUUAUUCAGCCAAAAUCUGUUUUUCUUUAACUUCUACCCAUUGUUCCUAAGUCUGCCCUCUGGGGGCUGUAGAAAAUAAUGAAGAUGAUGUUAUUAAUGAUAACCAGUGCUUGCUGUAACCAGUUAUGUGCAUUAUUUUAUUGGAUUUAAUUUGUUUACUCUUUAUAACAGCAUGUGAGGGAGGUGCUUUUCUGAUUUCCAUUCUACAAAAUAAGAAACUAAAGCACAGAGUAGUUGAUUAGCUUAACCAUAACCACAUCUCUUUGUCAACUCUUAAAGUACCAGAGCUUUCAUAGUUUUAAAGUUCCCAAUUCCUUCUACCAUUUCUUUUAGUACAGGGUCUCUAGACCCUUUCCUGUCCUCAUUCAACUCUCAGCUUGUUGUGGCUUGUCAGUGCCCUGAAAUAUGUUAUGGCCAAAAUUUAAAAGUAUACUUCAUAGAUCAUAUAAUUUACAAGUAGAGUACAGCAGGAUUUUUAAUGGCCUUGGUACUAAAGUUAUAUUGCCAAUAGUGACCCAUGGAUUAGCUGAGUUUUGUUUCGUUCUAGUUUUUGAAUGGGGAAUGUACUUUUACAUAAUACAGUUGGCUCAGGUUGACCUUUUAGUCAGGUGAAACUUCCAGGUUCUUAUCUGUACUAAAUGCAGACGUUCCUAUGCCUCUGCUUUCUUCCCAGUUGGCUUGAGUAGAUGUCCAAGGGAUUGACAUCAGCAUGUCUAUAUUGUUUGACCAUUUCAGCUUUGGGGAAGAAGAAGGAGCCCAGCUAUGUUGUGUUUUUUGCUAGUAUGAUGUUGGGCUAACUUUUAUAGCAUUUUUCCUUUUUGGAUAACUUAAUUUACCACGUAAUUGUCCAUGCUGGGGUGGAGCAAAGAUUUAUCCAAAAGGUUACUUUUAUUAGAAAAGUGUACUGCUUUAGGGUUUUGAAUUUCUGACUACUGGCUGACAGUAACCUUAUUUGCUGAGUAUCAGUUGUCGUUCAGUUACUCUUUCCCUGUCUCAUUGGCUUUUCUCUCCCUGUUUCCCAUUUUGACUUUAUACUGAAUAAAAUCAAACGUCUAAGUACUCUACUUACUAUAUACACCUUGCCAUUUAUAUGUAACAAGUCUCUUGCAGGAAAGUGUUCAAAUGAUGCGAUCUUUGUUUUAUGCUAUUGGAAAAUAUACUUGUCAACCUUAAGAAAUAGUAUAUUCAGUCAACGCUUCAUUAAAUGUAGUAUUCUUUCCUGAAAAAUAAAACCCAGUGCUCUGUUUAGUUCUUACCUACAUUAUAGUCUGCAAAUAAGACAUAUGACAAAUUGGUUCCCUCCAGUUAUCACCCAAUGAGAAUGUAAAAUACUUCAUCUUCUCUCUAGUAUAUUUUUUACUCCUUUAAAACUUAGCUGAAGUCGUACCUUCUUAGAGUUCACCACCCUGGCUGAAUCAUACCUAUCCUCCUCUCUCUUCCCUAUCUCAGAUUGCUUUUAAUUGCCCUGGCCAGCCAUCCAGAAAGAAGCACUGUCUUAAUGGCCUUUCUGACCAGGACCUCGAUGUCAGGAUGUUGAUGGGUUGGUUUGUCUGGUAUCAUGGCAGUAGCCAGUUCAAAUCUAGGAGUAGG